AUAGAUGUAGUAUGUAAAUACGUAAUAUUAGAAGUAAAUAAGAGAUAAUGUCUACGACUAUGUAAUACUGUAUGCAAUACUAUCUAUGUAAUAAUGUAUCACGGUAUAAGUGUUACAAGUUGAAUGUAUGAUAUACCAGCGUAAUAAUAUGUGUCAAUGUCGCUUGCGAUGUAGAAAUUCCCAGACGGGAGAUUAAGUCAUAAGGUGAAGGUAAACUCGUAAUUUGCUCGAUAUCGUUACACUUUGAUUAACGACUGUAAGGGAAGAGGAAGAAGCGUCAUUGGUAUAUUUACUCGCACGUUUCGAUCUAAUUGACCGGUUGAUUCUCACGAAUCGAUCGUAAGUUUAUUUCUGUCCGUGA